rnacentral:rRNA from 1 species
GAGUUUGAUCCUGGCUCAGAACGAACGCUGGCGGCGUGCCUAACACAUGCAAGUCGAACGUGAUCCAGAGCUUGCUCUGGUGAAAGUGGCGCACGGGUGAGUAACGCGUGGAUAACCUACCCUGGUAUCCGGGAUAACAUUCCGAAAGGGGUGCUAAUACCGGAUAAGCCCACGGGCUCUUUGGAGCUUGCGGGAAAAGGUGGCCUCUAUUUAUAAGCUACUGUAUCAGGAUGGGUCCGCGUACCAUUAGCUAGUUGGCGGUGUAACGGACCACCAAGGCGACGAUGGUUAGCUGGUCUGAGAGGAUGAUCAGGCACACUGGAACUGAGACACGGUCCAGACUCCUACGGGAGGCAGCAGUGGGGAAUUUUGCGCAAUGGGGGAAACCCUGACGCAGCAACGCCGCGUGAGUGAUGAAGGCCUUUGGGUCGUAAAGCUCUGUCAGAGGGGAAGAAAUGAUAUAGUGCUAAUACCACUUUAUCUUGACGGUACCCUCAAAGGAAGCACCGGCUAACUCCGUGCCAGCAGCCGCGGUAAUAC